rnacentral:rRNA from 1 species
GUCUUAAAGAAAUUAAUUUUAAGUCUAAUCUGCCCAAUGAAAAUUUAAAUGGCUGCAGAAUUUAUAACUGUACAAAGGUAGCAUAAUAAUUUGUUUUUUAAUUAAAAACUUGAAUGAAAGAUAUCAUAAAAUAUAAACUGUUUCAAAUAAAAAAAUUAAAAUUUUUAUUUAAGUAAAAAAACUUAAAUAUAUUUAAAAGACGACAAGACCCUAUAGAAUUUAAAUUAAAAUUUUAAUUUAAUUUUAAAAUUAUAUUAUUAUAUUAAAAUAUUAAUUUUAAUUGGGGUAAUUAAUAAAUUUAAUUAAUUUUAUAAAAUUAAACAAAAAUAAUUGAAUAAAUUAUCUAAUAAUAUUAAAUAAAAAAUUAAUUACCUUAGGGAUAACAGCAUAAUUUUUUUAAAGAUCUUAUUAAUAAAAAAGAUUAU